GCGGGCGGUGGGGACCUGGCCUCGCGCCCAUCACGGCGGUUAAGGUCAUUGGUACGUUAUGAAACCGCCUUUAGAAAGCCAGACAGCCUGUGGAUUUCCAUUAGCAACCAUGCAAUUACUGCAGAAGGACUGGAUCUUAUUCUGGCACAGCUUACUGCCUGCAUGGAGAGCCUGGGUCCCUGAAGUCCACAGAGUUUUGCUCAAUGAACAGCUCCAGAGAGUAAGCCUCCAGCCUUCUGCCAGUGGGGAGCAGAAUCUCUUGGGUACAAGGAACAGAAACUUAUUUCAAACUAGCUGGAAUUGAAAAGCUGGAAGAGGGAGUCCAGGAGAAGAGAUAGAAGAGGACGGAAGGCCACACUGGGGCUGGGAGGCAGAGAGAGCCCUGCCUGAGGCCCCUUGGAAAUCAAGCCCUGAUCGCUAAUUCAGCAGGUACAAGCUGCCAGACACAGGGACACACUCCUCUUCACCUUUGCUCCCACGACCCCGGUCCAGUCCACCAUCACCACUCACCUGGAUUAUGGCAAUAUUCCCUGGUAUUCCCCUACUUCUGCCCUGGUCCCCUAACACUUUACCAAACACAGGGAUCCUGUUAAAAUAUUAGUCAGUUUAUGUCAGUUCUCUGAAAACUCCAAUGUCUCCCAUUCCUCGGAGAUUAAAAAUCUUAUAGAGGCCUACAGGCUCACUCCCCCCACCCAAA